GACGAACCGUGCGAACGUUGUUCGGAAUCACUGGGCUUAAAGGGCGCGUAGGCGGGUCAGCAAGUCCGGGGUGAAAUCUUUCGGCUCAACCGGAAAAGUGCCUCGGAUACUGCUGGUCUUGAGGGAGGUAGGGGUUUGUGGAACUUCUGGUGGAGCGGUGAAAUGCGUUGAUAUCAGAAGGAACGCCGGUGGCGAAAGCGACGAACUGGACCUCUUCUGACGCUGAGGCGCGAAAGCUAGGGGAGCAAAC
rnacentral:rRNA from 1 species